CCUCAUGAUAAUAAUAAAUAAUGGACUGUGUUAUUUUUGUACAUAUCAAAAUAUUGGCAAUAAUUUCUUUUUCUUUUUUUAUUUAUAGAUUUUGUCAUGCCAUCAUUGUAGGUAUUCUUUCUUAUUUGUUUCAGUUUGGUUUCAUGUUACAAGAUAAAAGAAACAGCAAAGUUAGGUCCUCGCCAAAGAAGCCUAUUGAGAUAUACGAAUUCAAAGGGUACUAUAUAUUAGGUGGAGCCAUCAUAAUUCAAUAAUUCAUGAUUUUUAUGAUAGAGAUUUGAUGUAUCUUUAGCUACAUGUUAUGUUUAGAAUUAAAAAAUCAUAUUAUGUUUGAUACUUUAUUUGUAUAGGAGUUAUUAGUUUUGAUUUUCAAUACUAAAAUAUUAUAUAUUAUGUUUAAUACUUUAUUUGAGUUACGAAAUAUUUUGUUUAUAGGUUA